AGUGAACGCUGGCGGUAGGCCUAACACAUGCAAGUCGAACGGCAGCACAGUAAGAGCUUGCUCUUACGGGAGGCGAGUGGCGGACGGGUGAGGAAUACAUCGGAAUCUACUUUUUCGUGGGGGAUAACGUAGGGAAACUGACGCUAAUACCGCAUACGACCUACGGGUGAAAGCAGGGGAUCUUCGGACCUUGCGCGAUUGAAUGAGCCGAUGUCGGAUUAGCUAGUUGGCGGGGUAAAGGCCCACCAAGGCGACGGUCCGUAGCUGGUCUGGGAGGAUGAUCAGCCACACUGGAACUGAGACACGGCCCAGACUCCAACGGGAGGGAGCAGCGGGGAACAUUGGACAAAGGGCGCAAGCCUGAUCCAGCCAUACCGCGUGGGUGAAGAAGGCCUUCGGGUUGUAAAGCCCUUUUGUUGGGAAAGAAAAGCAGCAGGUUAAUACCCCGCUGUUCUGACGGUACCCAAAGAAUAAGCACGGGCUAACUUCGUG
rnacentral:rRNA from 1 species